rnacentral:rRNA from 1 species
ACUCCUACGGGAGGCAGCAGUGGGGAAUAUUGGACAAUGGGCGCAAGCCUGAUCCAGCAAUGCCGCGUGAGUGAUGAAGGCCUUAGGGUUGUAAAGCUCUUUCACACGCGACGAUGAUGACGGUAGCGUGAGAAGAAGCCCUGGCUAACUCCGUGCCAGCAGCCGCGGUAAU